GAUGAACGCUGGCGGCGUGCUUAACACAUGCAAGUCGAACGGGAUCCGGCCAGCUUGCUGGUUGGUGAGAGUGGCGAACGGGUGAGUAAUGCGUGACCGACCUGCCCCAUGCUCCGGAAUAGCUCCUGGAAACGGGUGGUAAUGCCGGAUGGUCCAGCAUGCUGCGUGGCGUGUUGGGAAAGAUUUAUCGGCGUGGGAUGGGGUCGCGUCCUAUCAGCUUGACGGUGGGGUGAUGGCCUACCGUGGCUUCGACGGGUAGCCGGCCUGAGAGGGCGACCGGCCACAUUGGGACUGAGAUACGGCCCAGACUCCUACGGGAGGCAGCAGUGGGGAAUAUUGCACAAUGGGCGCAAGCCUGAUGCAGCGACGCCGCGUGAGGGAUGGAGGCCUUCGGGUUGUAAACCUCUUUUAGCAGGGAGCAAGGCUUCGGUUGAGUGUACCUGUGAAUAAG
rnacentral:rRNA from 1 species